rnacentral:rRNA from 1 species
UACGUAGGUGGCAAGCGUUGUCCGGAUUUACUGGGCGUAAAGGGCGCGCAGGCGGUCGGGUAAGUCGAAUGUGAAAGCCCCCGGCUUAACUGGGGAGGGUCAUUCGAUACUGUUCGACUUGAAGGCAGGAGAGGGCAGCAGAAUUCCUGGUGUAGCGGUGAAAUGCGCAGAUAUCAGGAGGAACACCGGUGGCGAAGGCGGUUCUCUGGGCAUUACCUGACGCUGAGGAGCGAAAGUGUGGGGAGCGAACAGG